UACAGAGGGUGCGAGCGUUAAUCGGAAUUACUGGGCGUAAAGCGUGCGUAGACGGCUAUCUAAGUCGGGUGUGAAAGCCCCGGGCUCAACCUGGGAAUUGCAUUCGAGACUGAAUAGCUAGGGUACGGUAGAGGGAAGUGGAAUUUCCGGUGUAGCGGUGAAAUGCGUAGAUAUCGGGAGGAACAUCAGUGGCGAAGGCGGCCAUCUGAGACAACACUGACGCUGAAGCACGAAAGCGUGGGGAGCGAACAGG
rnacentral:rRNA from 1 species